CGGACGGGUGAGUAACGCGUGGGUAACCUACCCUGUACACACGGAUAACAUACCGAAAGGUAUGCUAAUACGGGAUAAUAUAUUUGAGAGGCAUCUCUUGAAUAUCAAAGGUGAGCCAGUACAGGAUGGACCCGCGUCUGAUUAGCUAGUUGGUAAGGUAACGGCUUACCAAGGCGACGAUCAGUAGCCGACCUGAGAGGGUGAUCGGCCGCAUUGGAACUGAGACACAGUCCAA
rnacentral:rRNA from 1 species